CUAUGCGCCUUGCCAGCCCGCUCAGGUGUGCCAGCCGCCGCGGUAAUACGUAGGUGGCAAGCGUUGUCCGGAUUUACUGGGUGUAAAGGGCGUGCAGCCGGAGAGACAAGUCAGAUGUGAAAUCCGCAGGCUCAACCUGCGAACUGCAUUUGAAACUGUUUCCCUUGAGUAUCGGAGAGGUCAUCGGAAUUCCUAGUGUAGCGGUGAAAUGCGUAGAUAUUAGGAAGAACACCAGUGGCGAAGGCGGAUGACUGGACGACAACUGACGGUGAGGCGCGAAAGCGUGGGGAGCAAACAGG
rnacentral:rRNA from 1 species